rnacentral:rRNA from 1 species
AAUCUUGGACAAUGGGCGCAAGCCUGAUCCAGCCAUGCCGCGUGAGUGAAGAAGGUCUUCGGGUUGUAAAGCUCUUUCGGAUGGGAGGAAGUCUCGGAGAUUAAUACCCUGCGAUUAUGACGUUACCGCCAGAAUAAGCACCGGCUAACUACGUGCCAGCAGCCGCGGUAAUACGCAGGGUGCGAACGUUAAUCGGAAUUACUGGGCGUAAAGCGCGCGGAGGUGGUUGGUUAAGACGGGAGUGAAAUCCCCGGGCUCAACCUGGGAAUUGCGUUUGUGACUGGUCAGCUAGAGUACGGCAGAGGGUGGUGGAAUUCCAUGUGUAGCAGUGAAAUGCGUAGAUAUAGGAAGGAACACCAGUGGCGAAGGCGACCCCCUGGGCUGAUACUGACACUGAUGUACGAAAGCGUGGGUAGCAAACAGG